GUGAAAAGGAUGGCUGUAUUUUUCUUUUCAAGUCCUGAGAGACCCUGCAUACGUUCUCCAGCAUCCUCAGGAGGAAAAAAAAAAGUUCCUAUCAAGGACAUCUUGCUACAGAGGACAUUAAACAUCUGUCCUUUACUCUUAAUGGAAAUAAAACCAAAAAUAAACAAAUGGGACCUAAUUAAACUUAAAAGCUUUUGCACAACGAAGGAAACUAUAAGCAAAGUGAAAAGACUGCCUUUGGAAUGGAAGAAAAUAAUAGCAAAUGAAGCAACUGGCAAAGAAUUAUACAAGCAACUCCUGCAGCUCAAUUACAGAAAAAUAAGUGACCCAAUCAAAAUAUGGGUCAAAGAACUAAACAGACAUUUCUCCAAAGAAGACAUACAGAUGGCUAACAAACACAUGAAAAAAUGAUUAACAUCUCUCAUUAUCAGAGAAAUGCAAAUCAAAACCACAAUGAGGUACCAUUUCAUGCUGGUCAGAAUGGCUGCUGUCAAAAAAGUCUACAAACAAUACUGGCGAGGGUGCAGAGAAAAAGGAAACUUCUUAUACUGUUGGUGGGAAUGCAAACUAGUACAGCCACUAUGGGGAACAGUGUGGAGAUUCCUUAAAAAACUGGAAAUAGAACUCCCAUAUGCCCCAGCAAUCCCACUGCUGGGUACACACUGAGGAAACCAGAAUUGAAAGAGACACGUGUACCCCAAUGUUCAUUGCAGCACUGUUUACAAUAGCCAGGACAUGGAAGCAACCUAAAUGUCCAUCGGCAGAUGAAUGGAUAAGAAAGCUGUGGUACAUAUACGCAAUGGAAUAUUACGUAGCUAUUAAAAAGAAUGCACUUGAAUCAGUUCUAAUGAGGUGGAUGAAACUGGAGCCUAUUAUACAGAGUGAAGUAAGUCAGAAAGAAAACACCAAUACAGUAUAUUAACAUAUAUAUAUGGAAUUUAGAAAGAUGGUAACAAUGACCCUAUAUGCAAGACAGCGAAAGAGACACAGAUGUAAAGAAUAGACUUUUGGACUCUGUGGGAGAAGGGUGGGAUGAUUAGAGAGAAUAGCG
rnacentral:lncRNA from 1 species